rnacentral:lncRNA from 1 species
GCAUACAAUGUCAAACAUAAAUCAAAAGCAUAAAAUGUCUCAAACAUAAACCUAGCAGUCGUGUUAAGCAUAUAAGGUCUUCACUACUUUAUCAGGCCUAAACUUUUUGCAGUCAUUCCGAUCCACCCUCUUAAGACCUCGGGAAUUUCUGGCAAUGCCAUCCACGCCUCUCUCAUGUCAGAGGACACCCCAAAAAUGUGAAAAGCAGCUAAGAAUAUAGGAUCUACCGGGUCUAACCCAACCAACUUUAACUUCUCAGAACACUCACGAACUGUUGGCCCUUCUUUGCCUUUAAUCAAAACCUGUAGAGCCUUCUGCAUAUCACGUGCUAAAUCAUCAUGGUUAAUAGAUGAUUUUGAGGUUUUGGCCCUUUUGUUUGGAUUAGGCUCAGAAGUGGGCUCGGAAGUAGGCUCAGAAGUGGGCUCUUGAGUAGGCUCUUGAGUAGGCUCGGAAGUAGGCUCAGAAGUGCCAGCAUCAUCUUGUGUGUCAUGAUAAUGGGUGCAUUUUAGAUGGUCGUUUGACCAUUGUUGUUUCUCUCC